UGAGGUAGUAGAUUGUAUAGUUGUAGGGCAGUUAUUUUGCCCUCUUCAGGAGAUAACUAUACAAUCUAUUGCCUUCC
rnacentral:pre_miRNA from 2 species